UACGUAGGGUGCAAGCGUUGUCCGGAAUUAUUGGGCGUAAAGGGCUCGUAGGCGGUCCGUCACGUCGGGAGUGAAAACUUGGGGCUUAACCCCAAGCCUGCUUCCGAUACGGGCGGACUAGAGGUAGGCAGGGGAGAACGGAAUUCCUGGUGUAGCGGUGAAAUGCGCAGAUAUCAGGAGGAACACCGGUGGCGAAGGCGGUUCUCUGGGCCUUACCUGACGCUGAGGAGCGAAAGCGUGGGGAGCGAACAGG
rnacentral:rRNA from 1 species